AGCGAACGCUGGCGGCAGGCCUAACACAUGCAAGUCGAACGAAGUCUUCGGACUUAGUGGCGGACGGGUGAGUAACACGUGGGAACGUACCUUUUGGUUCGGAACAAUUCAGGGAAACUUGAGCUAAUACCGGAUGAGCCCUUAGGGGGAAAGAUUUAUCGCCGAAAGAGCGGCCCGCGUUAGAUUAGCUAGUUGGUGAGGUAAAGGCUCACCAAGGCUACGAUCUAUAGCUGGUCUGAGAGGAUGAUCAGCCACACUGGGACUGAGACACGGCCCAGACUCCUCCGGGGGGCAGCAGUGGGGAAUCUUGCGAAAUGGGCGAAAGCCUGACGCAGCCAUGCCGCGUAAAUGAUGAAGUUCUUAGGAUUGUAAAAUUCUUUUACCAGGGACGAUAAUGACGGUACCUGGAGAAAAAGCCCCGGCUAACUUCGUGCCAGCAGCCGCCGUAACAC
rnacentral:rRNA from 1 species